GUUCCAAUACAUACAAAAUGCCUACUACACCACUCGCUCCAGCGAGUACCCAGACAACAAAACGGUAUGUACAAAAAUCCCAAAACUAUCUGUGGGAGGUACUCCUCUUGCACUGCAACCAGAGAAGGAAUCUAGCUCGCGACUCCCUUUUCUCGAUCGAAAUCAGCAACAGCAGCAGCCGCAGACGAAAACUCUGCAAAAAGGGGUCAAUAACUGGGUGUGAGAAAUACUGCAAAAAGGAGUAAUCCUCAGUAGGUAUCGCUACCGAUCUCAACGGCUCACCUACUUAGUCUACAGAAAAUAUGCACAAAGAUCGUAAAGAAAGCUGAAAAACCCUACAGCUACAUGCCACUGUACUAUCGUUAACCACUAUUCUGUAGAUAUAGGAAUGCACUCUCUGACCCAAUCUCAUUAGGGACUGUGAACGCACCAGUCCCAACUGUCAAAGCUAAACCAACCACCACCACGCUAGGUUGUUGGUGGAGAGCAAGUCCAAUUAGGACACUACGAUAUCAACGCAAAAGUACUAAGCCCAACUCCGAAGUGGCACUCGUGGCGCUAUCCAACCGAAUAUGCAAGCGUGUCUUUGUCGAGCGUGUCUUUGCCGAGCUCAAUCAGGCUCUUACAGGUUAUAAUCAAAACAAAUAGGUCUAACUGGUCCUACAACCAAAACUCACGUGCCCUUGGUACAAUCCGAUGCAAAAACAACAAACUGGGUCCACCGUCAACCGCGACGACACCCGACAGUCUGGAACAGUCUACACACUACUGUAAAAUAAGUUCGCUAUUUUAGCACGAGCGUAAACUCGUCCUACACUAAUCUGGGUGUCUAUCGCAUACUAACAGCGACGAUACAAAAGAAUAACAGCUCCUAAAGCUAAAUCUGGUAAUUUUCAGAAAGUGACAGUGUAGAAUCUAAAUAUUUUCUCCUAAAUCAAUUCCAAGUCCAACAUAUAAAAUUAUACUACUAGCUUAACUCCAAAUUCAAAUAUUAACUCUAAUCCAUGAAUUUAAGUACUAGCAAGAAAAUAAACAAAUGAUACAUGUUGACAAUAUAAAAACUUAGAAGGUAUUCCGACGAUUUUGGUAAACUUCAAUCCACCUCGAAAUGCUAAUCCAACCACGGUGAGAAGUCGAAAAAAGGGAAAAACACGCGCUCGCCGACCUCUAAUGACGCAACCGCGACACACGCACACUCGAACAGCCCUUCAAAUUGAUGUCGAAAAUCACCCGAGCUCGAACCACGGCCUCCACUAAGCGUACGAUCAAAACUAGAGAGAGAGAGGAAAAUAGAAAAGU
rnacentral:lncRNA from 1 species